AUAUGGGGGGCCCAUCCUCCAAGGCUAAAUACUCCUGACUGACCGAUAGUGAACCAGUACCGUGAGGGAAAGGCGAAAAGAACCCCGGCGAGGGGAGUGAAAAAGAACCUGAAACCGUGUACGUACAAGCAGUGGGAGCACGCUUAGGCGUGUGACUGCGUACCUUUUGUAUAAUGGGUCAGCGACUUAUAUUCUGUAGCAAGGUUAACCGAAUAGGGGAGCCGAAGGGAAACCGAGUCUUAACUGGGCGUUAAGUUGCAGGGUAUAGACCCGAAACCCGGUGAUCUAGCCAUGGGCAGGUUGAAGGUUGGGUAACACUAACUGGAGGACCGAACCGACUAAUGUUGAAAAAUUAGCGGAUGACUUGUGGCUGGGGGUGAAAGGCCAAUCAAACCGGGAGAUAGCUGGUUCUCCCCGAAAGCUAUUUAGGUAGCGCCUCGUGAAUUCAUCUCCGGGGGUAGAGCACUGUUUCGGCAAGGGGGUCAUCCCGACUUACCAACCCGAUGCAAACUG
rnacentral:rRNA from 1 species